UACGGGGGGGGCAAGCGUUGUUCGGAAUUACUGGGCGUAAAGGGCUCGUAGGCGGCCAACUAAGUCAGACGUGAAAUCCCUCGGCUUAACCGGGGAACUGCGUCUGAUACUGGAUGGCUAGAGGUUGGGAGAGGGAUGUGGAAUUCCAGGUGUAGCGGUGAAAUGCGUAGAUAUCUGGAGGAACACCGGUGGCGAAGGCGACAUCCUGGACCGGUAUUGACGCUGAGGCGCGAAAGCCAGGGGAGCAAACGGG
rnacentral:rRNA from 1 species